AAAGCCACAGCUCUCAGAGCUAAAAAGAUACCCAGAGGCCUCUGGUCACAAAGUCUGGGCUCCCAGGCCUUGCUCGGCCGGCACAUGUGUUUUAUUUGGCUCACAAGGCAUAUUGAGCGAAUUCGAAAGCGUUGCCAACAUUUGAAAGUCAGGAGAUCUCAUAUAAAAGUUCAAAUUUCCAAUUUCCAGGGAUUGGGUUUUUUUUUUUUUUAAAUGUCAGAUGAUCUAGUGUUCUUGCCUUCCCACAUGUCGACAAUUGGCUGACACAAAGGCGUGACCGUCCCCUUCGGAUGGAGCUGACCCGAGUCCACUUGAGUUCUUGCCUGAACCACCUCCCUCAUCUACCAGCUCACCAGCUGCCGGGUGAUGUGCCGUCUUUUAUGUUUCUGCUCCUGGUCAGCAACCUUCGGUUUCCAAGUACUGUACUCGUUUCCUCUUUAAUUUUUCAUUGGAAUAUUGAUUCAACUGCUGAAGACGACACAGCCAAGGCUUUCAGAACGUGCGAGCUGUGGAAAGGCAGGUCCGCUCCCCCCGCGGCGAGAGAUACACAUCCGCAGUCGCGGAGGCGCCCACCACGCAGGUGGCGGCACGGACAGAACACAUGCACACAUGUGUGCACUCGUGCACACGCACACACCAGAGGUUGCUAUAAACUAGGCAGUGUGGCCAGUGGGAUUUGCUCCUGUUCAGACGAAUCCAAGGUUCAAACCUCUUGGACUGGAAUGGACAGAUCGUGCAUAUGAGAAAAGUCAUACGGCAUUUGUCUUCCUCUGUCUACUUCACUUAGCAUAAUACUCUCGAGGUCCACCCGUGUUGUCACAAAUGGUAAGAUUUCCUUCUCCUGCAUAACUGAGCAAUGUUCCGUUGUAUACAGGUGCGCCAUUUUCUUUAUCCCAUUUGUCUGAUGAUGCAUGAUCAAUUCUGGCGGAUCGAUGGGUCCACCAUCAGUGAGCAGAUGGAUCAAUUUUGUCUUUCAUCAAACAAGUGCUUCAGCAGCAUCUCCCUACCUACCAGAUACCAGGGUGAUGCCCCAGGAAUAUGACAUCCACAUACCCCCAAGAAUUAGAACGAGAUCCAAGCCAGGCCGACCUCUACGUCAAAAACUGGUAGAUUCACUUCUCAAAGAGGUUCUUCCCUUUACAAAGGUGUCUCCAAUAAUACUGAUUACAUUUUGACCCGUCCUCUGAAAAAUGCGCACAGACGGCAUACCUAAUUCAGAGAGGAAGAUAUAUUUAUUCUCAACUUGAGUGCGUAUGUGUAUCUGUACCGUCUACACAACAUGGAGGGUAAAUUUGUCCAUAAAGUCCGGAAAUAAAGGCAUUAUUAGUUAUUUUUAAGAUGAAAAACGUUUCGAGCACAGUGUUUAUAUUUGCCUAUGUGUCCAGGCUUUAUGUACAUCCUGAAGAUCAUAAAUGUAGUAAACAAGAAUAAAUUGCUCACCAUUUGGGGGGGGCAUUCCUCAUGUUUUGAGUGCUUGGUUUAAAAAAAAAACCCAUAUAUUUCAUGGUGGAAUCUCUGUGUUUAUAAACAAAACCUCAACCAUUUACAAAGAAAGAAAUCAUUUUGACUUUCUUACUCAAUAUUGGUUCCCUAAACCAUGACCCACUUAUGGCAAAUCUUGACUCCAAGGGUGAUCGAGUUAUUUCGUUUGAGUUAGUUUCAUAUGUUCAGGAUGGGGCCAUUGUUUUUUUUUUUUUUUUUUAAGUUUUCCCUAAAUUUUGUCCUUCUUGGAAGUUUUAAAAUGUAAUCAUCAGGGCUAAAUUUUCUUAAACCUUUCUGAGCUCUACAAUAUGGACAUUUUUGUGCCAUGGGGCUUUUCCUUGCGCCUUAUUCCUCUGCCGUACAUCCUGGGACUGAAAACAAUUUAAUUUUAAAAACACGUCUUUUUUUUUUUUUUAAACCUAGAAACUGCAGGACAAGUUGGUUAUUAGUUUGGUUCUGAAAGUGAUCAGGAGAUUAUUUUAGGUUUCAGGUCACGUGUAAAUGUAAGAAUGUUUCUCCAUUUUCUGCGCCCGAAUUGAAGUAGUUUCCAUGUUCCGCAAUGACGAAAACCACAGCUCAGGUGACCGCCUGCCUGGUCAGUAAGUGGUCCGUGCCGGCCUGAGCCGGCUAAUUGUGUAUGAUUGGGAUUAUGUAGCAGGGGUGACAGUCCUCUCCAAACAAAGGAAAUCACACUUGUGCUACUUCACGUGACCUCUGAUCUCUCCAGCAAAAGCAGACACUUGGGUCACGGCGAAGCCUGCGGCGUCCCAAAGUGGCCUAGAUGCGUAGGACUGAUGAAUUCCGGCCCCCUGUACCUUUCAGAAUAGGAUCAUCUUUCAAAGCCCACCAGGAAGAAGAAGGAGAAAAAUGCAUCCGGUUUCAUUCACUGAUGAAGUAAAAGCAAGAAAAUGACGUCGACUCCCCCCAAAAGAAAGAAACAUGGAGACAAACCGCAGACUGGACCACCCGUUGGGUUGGCUACUUGGCUGCUGAGUCAGAAGCUGGGGUCUUCAGAUUCACACACGCCAGGGUAGAGGAAGAGCUAGAAGCUUCUGGGGAGGGCGGGGGAGAGAGGCUGCGGUCUCCGGUCAGGAGGGCCCAGCCGCUGGCCCAGCUGCUCCGGGUGGGAGGGGGAUGGAGGGUGGGUGGGCCCUGCAGCCGCCCCCGGAGCUCUCGGGCCAUUGUGAGCCCUUAUCGAUCAGGCGGGGAAGCUAUAGGACUGCGGCAGCUGAAGCUCCGCUGCUCCCCAGGUUAUUUAUGAGCCGCGCCAGCCUGGCAAGUAACCGGGGCCAGCUUGUUUAACGAGGGUUCAGGGCGCUCUUCCCUAGCUGGUUAACUUUAAGUAUUGGAAAUGGAAUUGAUGCGCACAUAAUAAUAUUAUGAUUCAUACAAACCACUUCUCAGGCAACUCAAUAUAUUUCAUUACCUCCUUUCUAGCAAAUGUAUUGAUUUCUGUUUUGCGGUUUUAUAACACAAUUUCAAGGCUGUUGUGGGCUUAAUGAGCCAUGUUCUUAUGAUGUUUAAAAAGAUUUGAAGCUAUUGUUGAAAUAAAUAUUAUGGAUCACCCCCUCCCGAGACCUUCUCCCUGGCUCCUGCCUCCGGCCUCCCUCCUCCCGAGCCCCCAGCCCCAGCCCCAGCCUGCCCCUCCCUGGUCCCGCCAGCAGAAACCAGGGGGGCUGCGGCUCUGCGGCCCUUUGUGGCCCAGAUCAAAGGCCCCAAGCGCCACAAAGGCGGCCCCACUCAGGCCGCACGGCCACACACAGUCGCACCUGCAGCGCGGCCAAAUGUCACUGUCGCUUCUGCGGGGCGAGCGCGGGGGACGCACCUCGGAGGCGGCAGAUGACUCCAAUAUCGCUUGAUGGGAAGUGAUGGGGAGGGAGACGCGCAGUGCCCUGGGCUUUUUAUUAGCUGCCCGGACUUCUGCAGCCGGAGCCCGUGUACCUGCACCUGUGGGCCCCCUUCCUCCCAGCCUUUAUGGAAGUUGACAGAUUUUAUUAACUUUAGGGAAGAACUUUCCGGCGUGCGGAGGGCUGCAGUUUGUUUUGUAUUCAUUCGAAACGGAAACUGAAAAAGCCGUGUUUACUUAUUUACCAGCCCCAGCGACCUCCCUCUGGGACGCCAUCAGUCACGCACGUAUUAACUCUGUCGUAAAACUGACUAGCGUGCCAGGGGAGCUGCGGAGUUUGGGGGGCUGUCCAUGGGGGGUGUGAAUUUUUUCCCCAAUGGGAGGAAGCUACAUUCAAUUAUCUAAUAUUUCCGAGGAAAGGCCGGAGACCUUCCAAAGCGCGCAGAAAUUGGACUUCUUUAACAAGCGAGUGCUCCUGGGCAGAGAGCAUUUGCAAACAACCCAGGUCGCCUUUGCCCACAGCAAGGCCUCCCAAAUCAGUUUGGUGAAGGAGCAACAAAGGUCAGGACCCACCCGGAGCAUCUUCAAACUCGGCCAGAGUGACACUCGGAGGUUUGGGGUGGAGUGAGGGUUCAUGCAGGCUGACCCCCC